rnacentral:rRNA from 1 species
GUCGGUGGUCAUUGCAAGAGGGUCACACCCGUUCCCAUUCCGAACACGGAAGUUAAGCCUCUUUGCGCCGAUGGUACUGCCCUGGCGACGGGGUGGGAGAGUAGGUAGCCGCCGGCU